CACGGAGUUAGCCGGAGCUUAUUCUCCAGGUACUGUCAUUAUCAUCCCUGGUAAAAGAGCUUUACAACCCUAAGGCCUUCAUCACUCACGCGGCAUUGCUGGAUCAGGCUUUCGCCCAUUGUCCAAUAUUCCCCACUGCUGCCUCCCGUAGGAGUCUGGGCCGUGUCUCAGUCCCAGUGUGGCUGAUCAUCCUCUAAGACCAGCUAAGGAUCGUCGCCUUGGUGAGCCUUUACCUCACCAACUAGCUAAUCCUACGCGGGCCCAUCCAAAAGCGAUAAAUCUUUGGUCCGAAGACAUUAUCCGGUAUUAGCAGCAAUUUCUCACUGUUAUUCCGAACUUAAGGGUAGGUUCCCACGCGUUACGCACCCGUGCGCCACUCACCCCGAAGGGUUCGUUCGACUUGCAUGUGUUAGGCAUGCCGCCAGCGUUCAUUCUGAGCCAGGAUCAAACUC
rnacentral:rRNA from 1 species